rnacentral:rRNA from 1 species
GACGUGCUAAUCUGCGAUAAGCGUCGGUAAGGUGAUAUGAACCGUUAUAACCGGCGAUUUCCGAAUGGGGAAACCCAGUGUGAUUCGUCACACUAUCAUUAACUGAAUCCAUAGGUUAAUGAGGCGAACCGGGGGAACUGAAACAUCUAAGUACCCCGAGGAAAAGAAAUCAACCGAGAUUCCCCCAGUAGCGGCGAGCGAACGGGGAGCAGCCCAGAGCCUGAAUCAGUGUGUGUGUUAGUGGAAGCGUCUGGAAAGGCGUGCGAUACAGGGUGACAGCCCCGUACACAAAAAUGCACAUACUGUGAGCUCGAUGAGUAGGGCGGGACACGUGGUAUCCUGUCUGAAUAUGGGGGGACCAUCCUCCAAGGCUAAAUACUCCUGACUGACCGAUAGUGAACCAGUACCGUGAGGGAAAGGCGAAAAGAACCCCGGCGAGGGGAGUGAAAAAGAACCUGAAACCGUGUACGUACAAGCAGUGGGAGC